rnacentral:rRNA from 1 species
AACGAACGCUGGCGGCAGGCCUAAUACAUGCAAGUCGAGCGCCCAGCAAUGGGAGCGGCGCACGGGUGCGUAACGCGUGGGAAUAUGCCUCUUGGUACGGAACAACCCAGGGAAACUUGGGCUAAUACCGUAUAAUAUCUUCGGAUCAAAGAUUUAUCGCCAAGAGAUUAGCCCGCGUCUGAUUAGCUAGUUGGUAGGGUAAAGGCUCACCAAGGCGACGAUCAGUAGCUGGUCUUAGAGGAUGAUCAGCCACACUGGAACUGAGACACGGUCCAGACUCCUACGGGAGGCAGCAGUAAGGAAUAUUGGACAAUGGGGGAAACCCUGAUCCAGCCAUGCCGCGUGAGUGACGAAGGCCUUAGGGUUGUAAAGCUCUUUUGGUGGAGAAGAUAAUGACUGUACCGGGAGAAUAAGCCCCGGCUAACUCCGUGCCAGCAGCCGCCGUAA